AACGCUAGCUACAGGCUUAACACAUGCAAGUCGAGGGGCAGCAUGGUCUUAGCUUGCUAAGGCCGAUGGCGACCGGCGCACGGGUGAGUAACACGUAUCCAACCUGCCGUCUACUCUUGGACAGCCUUCUGAAAGGAAGAUUAAUACAAGAUGGCAUCAUGAGUCCGCAUGUUCACAUGAUUAAAGGUAUUCCGGUAGACGAUGGGGAUGCGUUCCAUUAGAUAGUAGGCGGGGUAACGGCCCACCUAGUCUUCGAUGGAUAGGGGUUCUGAGAGGAAGGUCCCCCACAUUGGAACUGAGACACGGUCCAAACUCCUACGGGAGGCAGCAGUGAGGAAUAUUGGUCAAUGGGCGCAGGCCUGAACCAGCCAAGUAGCGUGAAGGAUGACUGCCCUAUGGGUUGUAAACUUCUUUUAUAAAGGAAUAAAGUCGGGUAUGGAUACCCGUUUGCAUGUACUUUAUGAAUAAGGAUCGGCUAACUCCGUGCCAGCAGCCGCGGUAAUACGGAGGAUCCGAGCGUUAUCCGGAUUUAUUGGGUUUAAAGGGAGCGUAGAUGGAUGUUUAAGUCAGUUGUGAAAGUUUGCAGCUCAACCGUAAAAUUGCAGUUGAUACUGGAUAUCUUGAGUGCAGUUGAGGCAGGCGGAAUUCGUGGUGUAGCGGUGAAAUGCUUAGAUAUCACGAAGAACUCCGAUUGCGAAGGCAGCCUGCUAAGCUGCAACUGACAUUGAGGCUCGAAAGUGUGGGUAUCAAACAGGAUUAGAUACCCUGGUAGUCCACACGGUAAACGAUGAAUACUCGCUGUUUGCGAUAUACAGCAAGCGGCCAAGCGAAAGCGUUAAGUAUUCCACCUGGGGAGUACGCCGGCAACGGUGAAACUCAAAGGAAUUGACGGGGGCCCGCACAAGCGGAGGAACAUGUGGUUUAAUUCGAUGAUACGCGAGGAACCUUACCCGGGCUUAAAUUGCAGAUGAAUUACGGUGAAAGCCGUAAGCCGCAAGGCAUCUGUGAAGGUGCUGCAUGGUUGUCGUCAGCUCGUGCCGUGAGGUGUCGGCUUAAGUGCCAUAACGAGCGCAACCCUUGUUGUCAGUUACUAACAGGUUCCGCUGAGGACUCUGACAAGACUGCCAUCGUAAGAUGUGAGGAAGGUGGGGAUGACGUCAAAUCAGCACGGCCCUUACGUCCGGGGCUACACACGUGUUACAAUGGGGGGUACAGAGGGCCGCUACCACGCGAGUGGAUGCCAAUCCCCAAAACCUCUCUCAGUUCGGACUGGAGUCUGCAACCCGACUCCACGAAGCUGGAUUCGCUAGUAAUCGCGCAUCAGCCACGGCGCGGUGAAUACGUUCCCGGGCCUUGUACACACCGCCCGUCAAGCCAUGGGAGCCGGGGGUACCUGAAGUGCGUAACCGCGAGGAGCGCCCUAGGGUAAAACUGGUGACUGGGGC
rnacentral:rRNA from 1 species